UCUCCCCUAAGUUCAAAAGAGAAAUCGCUUUCAGUUCUCUCCUUCGAACUCUCUCUAAGUAAUUCAACGGACCCUCGCCUCACCGCCGCCGAGCAAUGGAAUCGCCGCCGCCGCCAAAUUGAUCGUUGCAACGUUAGAAGAGAGUUCUACAUGUCAAUAUCCUUGAACGAGUUCUCUAUGAUCGUAGCACUUUUUCUUUAGAAAAAUGAAUAACCAAAUGAGCAAUGUGAUAAACAUUUAGUUCCGCACUAGACAAUUAGCAGGUUAGCGUAUAUGUGGAAGGAAACUCUGUCCCCCAUAGGAACCAUGAAGUUCUUGAUAAGCUGAUUGUCGCCCCCAUGAAUUGUAUAAUUCAUUCUCCUUUCGUAAAUAUGAUGAUCAUGCAUUCUGCUUCUAUGUUAUGCUUGUUUGACUGAAAGGUAUAAUUUAAGCCUAGAGCUCUUUAGUUUAGAGGUGAAUGACAAAUAAGGCAUGCAAAAUGAUAUGUUGCCCAAGGCACUCUGAGAUUUUUCCAUGCUAGAAAUUUUCCUAGAUUAGCGAGCAAGACUUUUCUUUUAAACUUUUUUUUAAACAUGUGGCAGCAGCUUGAUACAGAACCUCAAUAGUUUCUUUGGGUUCCAUUUCUGUACUCUUUAAUAAAUUUAUUUCUUUUGUACUAAAAAAUUCAGAAGUUAGAAUGUAUCAAACAAUAUUUUUAUUACUUAGAAUUAAAUACCAUAACUUUUGUCUCCAUACUUCAAAUUAAAAUACAAAUUGAAACAAUUAUAAAUUAUCUAAAUAUAGGAUGUUACUCUGAUCAAAAGCUACAAUCUAAAUCAAUUCCAUAAACUCUAUCAUGUCUUAUCACUUCCAUUUGUGUCUUUUUGGGUCCCCCCUCUUCUCCUAAGAGUAUCUCCUACUUGAAUAUUUUCAACUCUACACAAUACGUUAAUAAUAUUUCUACAUGCCCAAACCAUAUUGACAAAUUUUAUUGCUUCUUUUCUUCAUACUGCUGCCCCAAAAUUAAUGUCAUGAAAUAUUCCAAAUCUAUUGAAUUUUCAUAAUCAAACUUCAAGGCCAUUCUUCCAUCAUACACCCCCAAUGUACUUUUUCCUCCGUGAUCCUCCAUCAUUCUGAAUUUCAAAACCUAUAACUUUUUUAACAUUCCCAGUUUUAAGUAUUUCUUUCCGGUCAUUUAGUUGCUUCCUCAUCUCUCCUUGAACUUAGGCUUCAUAUAUUCUAUCGCAUAAUUGUCAGAAGCGCACAAAGCGUGCUUUAAGCGAUAAGUGCUGACUUUUCUAGCCCUAGACACGAGCUUCUUCGUUUGCUCCCUCGAUCGAACGAGGGCUCUUCCUCAUUCUGCUACAUCUGCACUUUCACUAUGCUGCCUCGUUUCGUUCCUCUAGUGGCUGGAUCGCUCUCUUUUAUUGAAUUGUUAGCCCUUAAGUAGAAGAUCAAUCUAGUGAUUAGCUUACCACUUUCCCCGUGAAGGUUUCACUUCUUCCUUUCGCUCUGUCGAUCAAACGAGGUUCUUUCUUAUUGGGUCUUCUGGUUAUGUUUUUAAUUUUAUUGUGACUAGUGUCUGUGCUUGCAGUUACUUUCAUGUCUCUGUUAAUGUUUUUUCUUUUUAGUUUUGCUAUCAAAGUUAUAGUUUUGUUUAUUAUAUGUUUAAUCAAUUCCAAUGAUAUGUUUAUUAUUUUAAGAUUUGAUGUUCUGUAAAGUAUCCCAUUAUGUGUUUAUAGUUUUGGAUUGCAAGUUUGCUCAUGUUGUAAAAUAAAACCUUGUAUAUCCGAAAUCAAUGAGCGAUAUGUGCUGCGUUCUAUGUAUUUGAUCUGUUAAUUUGCUUAUAUUCUACAAUGAUGUUGAGCAGGGUCUCCAAAGUUCAUUAGACUGAGUGUAAGCAAAAAUCCUUGUUGAUUUUUUUUACUCUAAUAGGUGGGUUUGUUUAGCUUUGUUAUGUGAGUUGUGACUUGUGGGUUUUCUGAUAUGAUGAUUGCUUAAUUUAGCCUGAAUGAAUUUGUUUGUUUGCUGAAAUAUAUAUAAUAUGUUAUUAUUACUGAAUUUAUUACAUAAUUUAUGAAUUUUGCACUUCGAGUCUUUGAACUUUGAAGCGUGUGCUUUGAAGUGAAGCGAUGCCUUUAUGCUUCAAGUGCGCUUUGCGUGCUUGACAAUACUGUUCCAUCAUAGUCUUACUUAUCUUAAAAUCUUUGGAUUCCGAAGCUUCUCUCCAUGUUUUCAAUUUCAAAUUUACUGUUGAUAUGGUCUCAUCCAUUGAGACAUUGUUAUUUGCAAACAACAUGCACUGAGUUACUUUGUUUUAAAUAGAUAUUCUGUGUAUUUCUAAUCACCCCUGCUUUAGGUAGAGCAGUCUCUAGACAAUGCGAUUAGUCCCCUUUUGAUUUUAUAAUACUUUUGCUAGAUGUCCUUACAUUCCGUAAAUGCAAUGGGUUACUGAAUUAAUGCAAUGGCUUGUUAACAUAUACCUACAGAGUAGAUACUUUAUGCCUUAAGGGACGUUUUCUGUAGAAUCAUGAAUAACUACUAUUAUUUUUACGUGUCUAUUUUGGGUUUUCUGGAAAUGCUCGUAGUAUGAGAACAUCAUUUUACUUGAGUCAUGGAGUUAAUGUUAAUAUUUAUGAACUCA